CAAUGUGGCAGUAAAUAAAGGGAAAAAAGAAGUCUAUCCUUUCGAGCGCCGCACGGGGCGAGAAGCUCAGCGCUAUGGCGAUGCGGCGCUCGAAGCUCAGCGCUAUGGCGAUGGCGGAGGCGGCAGACGACGGAUUUCAGUUCCUAUCAGAUCCAACCGACAGAUUCCCAUUGCCGGAUCUCGCCGUAGACGAGUAUUUGCUGCGCAGCGAAACAGAUCAAUCUCUGCUAUGCGCCGUCGCUCAAUCCAGCAAUAGUGGUGUGGCCAUGCGGCAGUCACGGUACAACAAGAACAUGACAGUCGUUCCAAAAGGAUCGCCCUGUCGAGUUCAGUGCAUUCGACAGACAGAGACGAUGGACAAGCAUCUGACUUGCCCAACAAGUAUACAUAUGCGGCGGAGUGGUUCUACUUGAAGCACAUACUAAUUCUGAUUGUUGUGCAUGAUCCUAGAGGGUUGACAUAUAAUGAACUUUCUUGAUUAUCCCAGAGAAGAGUGGUUUAUAGUUAUACUCAUGAUACCUUGACCAGUGUAGCACUCGGACUUGGUAUUGAAACUGAUACAUAUUUCUGAACAAUGCAUUCAAAAAUUUGGUUACAAUUAUAUGUCACUAAUUCCUACUAUUAUGUGAAACAUGGUUUUCACUUCCCGGACCUCAGCGGCAGUAAAUCAUUACUGGAUGGCGAAGCAAUUCAAACUUUGGUGUGCACAGCCACUGAAUCCAGCAUUGGUGAUGUGGGCGAUACAGAAGAGACAAUACAAGUAGAUGUCAACAGCACUUGCAAUGGAGUGGCCCUGUCCCUGGCAAACUCAGAACAUUCAACAAGCAAAGAUAACCCGCAAGCACCUGGCUGGACAAAGAGGUAUACAAGUGUCAAUGCGUGUUUCUAUUUCGAACAUAUGCCAACUUUGACUGGCAUGUAUGUUCCCUCAAAAAAUACAAUAGUGUAGUUAAAGUGUUGAACAUUUGUAUUGUUUGUGGGAGUCAACAAUCACUUCCAAAGUGUGAUUUUCGGUGGGGGUCUUAGUAAGGGAUGAGACAGUGGAAACAUUUACAUUGGUGUUCACUGGAUUUAUCCGCAUGAUGGGCGGCAAACAUCCACAGAACUUGCUCACAGUGCAGAGCCGUGGAGGUUGUAGCAAUAGAUAAGGUGAUGCCAAAUACCAGACAUCGCUGGUGCAAGUGGCAUGGCCUGGAGAAGGCAAAAGAAUCUCAUGGCUCAAAUUGCACAAAGAGAAGCAAGUUUAGAACGGACUUCCACAAGAUAAUACACCACGUGCUGACAGCUGAUGUGUUUGAGACUGGAUGGAAUUGAUUGACAGAAACACAUGGUUUGCAAAAACACCCUUACCUUACUCAAAUCUACUCCGUGCAGAACCAUAUUUCAAGAACACAACCGCCACCGUGCAUCACAUGUAGUUGUUGUGCACGACGCAAUGUGUUUAGAAGACAGAAUUCAGUCGAACAAGUCGAAAGGUAAAGAAGUGAUUGUGUUGCAUGAACCACACAAUGGAUAUGGGCUGAUGUUGUAGGUAGUGCAGUUGGAAAUUUCAUUGGGUUAACUGCUACAGAGCGUAAAUGGAAGGUCGGUCGACCAACCAGCAGCAGGGACAAGCCUCCAUAUAUGAUGAUCGCUGUGCAAAGAGCCAAAAAUGUAAGUUGGUGCCACAUAUGGGUGUUGCUGGAGAAUUUGGUACAAGCAAGCAUCCACGCUUUUGCAGUAUAUGUCGUCAGCCAGGGCACAAGAGCACCACGUAUCCAUAGAGCGGUGACCUCCCUCAAAUGGCAUGAAAAGAAGCAAAAUGCUCGAACUGCGGAGUGGGAGGGAUCGGAAGAACACCUGCAACAACCCUAAGGUUGUGCUACAUGUUGCCGAGAAAGGUGCCCUUGUACGGGCUGUAGCUCUGUGAUUGAACUGAAUAAGCAGUGCGUAGCACUGACAUUUGGUUGUUUUUCCUUGUAUGAUGAGGCUUAGUAGCCAUUGGUGUGAAAUGGAUUAUGCAUUGUCGGGUUAGUAAUUGUGAUGAUGUUUCUCUUCGAUUAGUCUCAA